rnacentral:tRNA from 1 species
CGGAUUUUAGCUUAAUAUAAAGCACAUUAUUUACAUUAAUGAGAUAAUUAAUAUUUUUUCUGA